GAUGAACGCUGGCGGCGUGCCUAAUACAUGCAAGUCGAGCGAACAGACGAGGAGCUUGCUCCUCUGACGUUAGCGGCGGACGGGUGAGUAACACGUGGAUAACCUACCUAUAAGACUGGGAUAACUUCGGGAAACCGGAGCUAAUACCGGAUAAUAUAUUGAACCGCAUGGUUCAAUAGUGAAAGACGGUUUUGCUGUCACUUAUAGAUGGAUCCGCGCCGCAUUAGCUAGUUGGUAAGGUAACGGCUUACCAAGGCGACGAUGCGUAGCCGACCUGAGAGGGUGAUGGGCCACACUGGAACUGAGACACGGUCCAGACUCCUACGGGAGGCAGCAGUAGGGAAUCUUCCGCAAUGGGCGAAAGCCUGACGGAGCAACGCCGCGUGAGUGAUGAAGGUCUUCGGAUCGUAAAACUCUGUUAUUAGGGAAGAACAAAUGUGUAAGUAACUAUGCACGUCUUGACGGUACCUAAUCAGAAAGCCACGGCUAACUACGUG
rnacentral:rRNA from 1 species